GCUUUGUUUACAUUUUGGACUAAAUGCUACAGUUGUAAAAUAUGAUUAGAUAUGUUAUUCUGAAUUUUUAACAUUCUUCUGGUUCGCUAUAUGCUUGUAAAUUAAUACAGACUAGAGAUUCAAUUCAAGAAAGUUCGGAAGGUGCGAAAUAUUAAUUGUUAUUUGUUGAUAUAGAGGUACACUGCCAUGAUAAUUUAGUGGGACGACACAGAGAGUAGCCUGCGUGUAGUGCCAGAUUCCUUUGGAGAGAGAGAGGCAGUUUGAGAAUAGAGACAGGCAAUUCUGAUUAAUAUAAACAGGUCUAAUCUCAUACUGUACGUGUGAAGCAGGCUUUGCAAUCAUGAAAGCAAGAUAUUAAUGCAUAUUUUAUUUUUAUUAUACAUAACCUAAAUAUACUACCAUUUCAACUACGUUAAAAACAGUUUCAAGUUUUAACUAAACAGUUUAACAAUCAACAUGUCACUCGCUUUUCCAUCCUUUUGGGACGACUAUAACAGGAAGAAUCGCUCGGCGAACAACAAAAUCACUAACGCUACCAAACAAUGAUCGAGAUAUUUUGCCCAAACCACGACUACCAAUGAUAAUUAAGUCAGUCUUGUGUUUAGUCGCUUCCUCACAAAUGGUCUCCCCAACUCGUCCAGGGACUGUUACAGGUGUAUAAUGUACUAAGUCCUACAAAAGUUGAAAGUCGUUACUUUAGCAAAGACCAGGGUUGGACCAUUGAUCAGCUAACGUGUGCAUGUUAAUGCCAGUUGCUUGUCCAACAUUGUUCAAUUCUCAUAACUAUCCUAAUACCUACCAUGUCAUCCUCGUGACUAUCAUAACGGUGCAUGGUUACUAGAUAUGCGAAAUUGCGAUUUGG